rnacentral:rRNA from 1 species
UACGUAGGGGGCUAGCGUUGUCCGGAAUCAUUGGGCGUAAAGCGCGUGUAGGCGGUCCGGUAAGUCCGCUGUGAAAGUCGGGGGCUCAACCCUCGAAUGCCGGUGGAUACUGUCGGGCUAGAGUGCGGAAGAGGCGAGUGGAAUUCCUGGUGUAGCGGUGAAAUGCGCAGAUAUCAGGAGGAACACCAAUUGCGAAGGCAGCUCGCUGGGACGUAACUGACGCUGGAGACGCGAAGGCGUGGGGAGCAAACAGG